AAACUUUUUCUCUUCACCAUCGACGUAUCUUCGAGUAAUUCACACUUCUCGGACAGUAAUUCAAAUGGAGUGGCCUUCCAAAUCUCUUCAGGACUUGGAGCUUCUUGUUAGUUCACAGAAGGACAGAAUUCUGAUGGCUUUGCGCUCUACAUUUUUGCCAGUAACAAGAAAAAUGCACAGAAGACAGCAGCAUAGGUUUUGCAAUUAGGAGAACAACUAAAUUAUAAUGCUACAACUUGUUAUUUAUGUUUGGCGAUAUCCGAACCUUUACCGGUUGGAGAGAAAUGAGUCUAAAAUUACAUUACAAAGCUCCAGGUUAUGAGGUCCCUUAAAGGUCCCUUAAGUGACUCUUAACACAUUCAGAUUGUGGCAUAAUAUUGAUAUUGAUAACCUGUUAGAUUUAGAAUAAUGAUAAACUUGAAAAAAGUCACUUUACAAAAUUAGGGGGGUUGCAUCACCUCAAGGCACACAUUUUGUCAUCCCUUUCAUAUUUUUACAAAUAUGUUAAGUUUAAUUGCCUCAUAACAUAUUAAUCUUGAAACUCUGAAAAUUUGAAUACUAAUUUCCAUGUAAUAGAGAUUUGGAAUUGGUUUAUAUGAAGAACACACAAAAUUUGCCCGCGAAAUUUACCACCAAAUCCUAUAGUAACUUUUAAUUCAGUAAAAAAAUCAUAACUUUAAAACGGAAUGUCCAAUUUUGAAAAAGUAAACUGUUUUGUCUUAAUCUGAUGUAGCUCUUUAAGAUGAUAUGCUUUUUAACCUAGGUAAAUCAUUUUGGAAAUUUUCUCAAAGUCCCUAAUCAAGUAACUUAAAACUUGACUUGUA